rnacentral:rRNA from 1 species
GCCUACAUGAAGCUGGAGUUACUAGUAAUCGCAGAUCAGAAUGCUGCGGUGAAUGCGUUCCCGGGUCUUGUACACACCACCCGUCACACCACGGGAGUUGGAUACGCCCGAAGCCGAUUAUCUAACCGUUUGGAGGAAGUCGUCGAAGGUGGAAUCAAUAACUGGGGUGAAGUCGUAACAAGGUAGACGUAUCGGAAGGUGCGGCUGGAUCACCUCCUUUCUAAGGAGA